GGCAGUCAUCCAUCGGCCUUCUUGGUAGCAAGUAUAGAGCCUUGGUGAAGUAACGAGACGUCAAUUUAACUGAGAACUCGCCAAAGGGACUUCUCGAGAAUGGGGUGUACUUAUCGUCAUGACGACUUCAACUAUAAGGGAAGGUGGCUUCGUGUGGCCAAGUGUGUGGGCUUCACAACGAUGGCGGUUUACUGCAACAAAAGAUACAAUUUUAUCCUGCCUCUGCGGUUGCUGGUUCGG
rnacentral:lncRNA from 1 species